rnacentral:lncRNA from 10 species
CCUGCUCAAAUGUUGCAUUUCCCAAGACCACCCUGGCCUCCCACGCCCCCAUUCUGUGCCUAUAAAAACCCCCGAGGCCCUAGCCGGCAGACACACAGGCGGCUGGAUGUCAAGAGGAGCACAACAGAGGAGGAACACAGAGGUGGCUAGACACAGAGAGUAACACACUGACGGCUGGACAUACGGAGUAAAACACCGACAGGCACGGGCACCCUGGCAGGCCACCGACCAUUAGAAAUAGAAUGACAUGGAGUUUAGCUGGGGCAGUCAGAGGAGAGCCCAGGCUGCUGAACGGCUCGACUCUAGGGGAAACCCUUCCCACUCCACCCCUUCUGACUUUCCGAGAGCUGCUUCCACCCAAUAAAACCUUGCAAUCAUUCUCCAAGCCCAGGUGUGAUCAGAUUCUUUCGGUACAUCAAGGUAAGAACCUGGGAUACAGAAAGCCUCUGUCCCUGAGACAAAGUAGAAGGUCUAAGGGAGCUGCUUAACACAAGCCACCUAUAGACGGCAAAACUAAAAGAGCAAAACUAGAAGAGCACCCUGUGACACACUCCCACUGGGGCUUCAGGAGCUGCAAACAUUCACCCCUACACACUGCUGUGCAGUCGGAGCCCCAUAGCCUGCCCGUCUGUAUGCUCCCCUAGAGGUUUGAGCAGCGGGGCACUGAAGAAGCAACCCCAUUACACGGCCUGCGAGGGGGACAAGGAUCUCUCCCUGUGGUGCCUAGGUUGGUUUAAAACUCUUGGCCUCAAGCGAUCCUCCCACCUUGAAUUCCCAAAGCAAGGUGCUAUUAGUAAUUGGCUCAGAGAACUCGCCAUUAGGGGCAGUGCAUCACUUAACAAUGGCUGGGCGUGAAAGAGAGCCCUGCUCUACUGACCCUUCAAUGUGCCCGUGUGCCUAAAUAUUCCUGGUCGUGUGAAAAGAACCCAGGUAUUAGCUGAACUAAGGAGCACAAUUCUGCAACAUUUUGGCACCCAAACACGGGGCUUGAGAAAUGAAUGCAAUUGGAGAAACUGGUUGUUUUACCAGGCGUUGAUUGGAAAUGUGUGCUUCCCUUUAAGCAGUCAAGCUCAACUUGCAGAACUGAUGGGAACCCCUUGGGAAAACUGGCCUCAAAUGUUUGUCUACACAGUCCACAUACAGGGUUCUUAACCUGCGGUGAGUAAAGAAUGUCACUUUCCAACAGGCCCAGAUAUCAUAUGCUCUUGGGACCUCAAGAAGAGAGGAGUUUACCCAAUUCAUAGGUGUGUGAGGAUAAAAACCUAGGGCUGGGCUCAGCUUUAAAUGGUCUUAUCUGAGAUUCUUUGUGAAACAGAUUUUCAUGAAAGCCAAUCUAGAGGGCCUACGUAGAAAUAAUUGUUUUUGCUGCACUUUAUGCACAUAAUCAAGCCAAUUAUAAGACUAAAGUCUAUAUUGCAAGCAACACACUCCUAUUAUGAUUUGUUUUUAACAGAAAUGAGGACGAGACAGAGAGAAAUUAUGUUUCAAAACUUAUCAUCAUUAGUUUCUAGACUUAUUAUUUCUUUUUAAGUUUUUACCUACAUUUUAGACUGACCCUGCUUGUGCCUGUGAACCAACCAACAAUCUCUGGCUGCAGCUCAGAAAGGACAAAAGAGAAUGGGUAAUGUAAAAACCUGGAUCAGUAUUUUAGUUCUGAACAAUUAUCCUGCAAAUCCUGCCAGCUGAUGGGAAUAAAUAGGAUGCCCAUGAUCCGGAGGUUUACUUUUUGGGAAAGUAAAACCAAGGGAGCUAACCAAAGUAAAACCCCAUACACCCAAAUCUGAGCAAGCAUAACUAUAGCCACCAGUUAUCUGGGUGUGUCACAAGACACUCUUUUCUUUCCUUUGUUGGAGGAGAACUCAUUUCCACAGCUUCACUUUAGCAUUAUGGCUUAUGUUAAGGAGUCUAUGCAACUUCCAUGCUGAGACACGUUUUUGGUCCCAAAGUUAAUUCCAAGCUUUGUGUCAAAGGCCUAAGAAAACUGGAUCUUAGGGAUCCAGAAGCCAGACAAUAAUGAAAGUCAAAAGGCACAGCACAGGUGAGCAUGACUAAUUCCCGCUGAUUAAGCCAAGCUUCCUGUUUCAUGGAUAAAGGUCAUGCUAGUAUCCAUGGCAUAAAUGAGGUCUAGAGAACUAAAAGGCUACUGCCAGCAGGGGAGAUAGGGAGGACAUAAGACAGGGCAGCUAUUCCCAUCCCCUAGACCCCCUGUUAACAUGGAUGAAAGCCACUUUGACACCCAUGGGUGGCACCCUGUCACAGUUGGUGGGACUCAGCAAUACAGGGACAGAGGAAAGAAAGAGGAACAACUCACUUUCUCUCCCUCACACACCCUGAGUAUUUGCUAGAAAAAGAAAGGAACCAGGCACACAUGCUCCCCUAUUUCUAGAUGAGUAGCCAUUCAUCUUUAGUCUGCACCCUUUUAGAACAUGUCCUGAACCCCUGGGACUCUUCUGAAAAAAAUGCCUUCUUUUUUCCUUUUUCUUCCUCUGUCCUCUAUUCACUGGUAGGUAGGUAAUGGUGUCCCAUACCACAGAACACUUCCCUCAGAUGCAUCCUUCUAACUGGGAGGAGUUAAUUUCUCAAACCGUAGACUAAUUGGCUUAGGAUUAGGUUCAGGGGAAGGGAACACAGAAACAUGACAUGCCAGCAAAAGGGUAAAAGGUUUUUUUUCCCCGUUGGGCUUUUGGCCUCUCUCUCCCUGUGCAAACUGGUAAAAGGCGUCUGGAUUUUCUAGUUGUCCUUACCCACUGCUUGUUUCGUUUUGAUACAUAUUUUCUAAUAACCUGUUUGUCUCUUCUCACUUUUAGGCCAUCAAACUCCAGUCUGCACCUGGAGCCUUGGAUGAUGGCCUUUUUUACUGGGAACCCUGAAAUAGGCCUCUGAGGGAAAUCUGAUUGCCAUUUUCCCAAAACAGCUUCCCUGACAAUAGGAAGCAAUUAAGAUUGGUCUUCAUCCUUAUCUUUAUCCUUAUUCUAAUGGCAGUUAGAGGUACUUCUUUAGAGGGGGGAAUGAGACAGCCAAAUGCCUAGGCAGAUAAAAAGGUGUACCUGGAAAAUUUCCAACCCGUCACACAAGUGUUUACAUCAGAUGCUUUUGUGUAGAUGAGGGAAACUUCCCAGGGCUUGUCUGGGUAUGCCCACAGUGGACUGGAGCCCAAAAUGCACACUGGAGGAAGUGGAUGGAGCCACGUGGAUGUCAUGCCUUAUGCAGGGGAGGAGCCUGCUCUCUUCAGCUCCUGUGGUAAUGUGGGAAUCGAUCUGUGAGGAAACACUUUCUGAAAAUGUCAGAACUCUUGAAAACAUGGAUGAGGAAAAGCAUAAGUACUGCUUUAUGCUUUUCUUAUGAAUUUUAAAAGAUGUAAUUUAAAGGUACUUUAAAGUGAUAUUUGUGCCCUUGUAACUGAUUCAAAGUAGACUGCUAAGGACAAUAAGUAAUAAGAGUCUACAAAUAUCAGUAAAUUAUGAGAAAAAACGGUCUAAUGGUACUUAAAAUUGCAUUGUGAUUUAUUAAAUAACAUUGAACAGCUCCACCUGUAACAUUAAGAUUCCAUUUGAGCAUAUAGAAAAUAUAUUUAUCGCAACCUGAAGUGAUUUGGAAAGUAUGCUGGGAAGAAAAUAUAUUUACAAAUUAGUCUCAGAGGGUAGGUAUCCUGUAGCCAGAUGGAAUAAGAAGAGAGGGAAGGGAGAUUUUGUUCAAAGGGGGAGCAUAAGCUAAGGAAUAAAGCCACAAACAAUGAUUAAAUUAGGUAAAGUGCAAUUAGCUGAAUAUUGCAUAAGCAUACAUAUGGGAAGAAGUGGAAAAAGGAGUGACAAUAUGAAGCUAAAGGGUUUGAAGUGUUCAAGAUAAUACUAGGCUUCCUAGCCUAUUCCGAGACAUCUUGUUUUAGAGUGCAAUAGAUAAGAACUCUAAGGAUGAAAGUAGGAGACAUGCAUUCUAGUCUACGUUUUGGUUAAUGGACUGAAAGUGAAAGAUGGACUGAAAUUGGGGGAUGGAAUAAAAAUGUGAUAGAAUAGAAAAUAGAAAAAGCAAUUAGCCUAAUGUCAUUGAUACUUAGAGAAAAUAUGGAAAAUAGUAAAUUAGUGAUAUAUAUCUUUUCUAAUUCACCAGGGUGAGUGAACAAAGGAAAUCGGAUUUAAAAGUAUUCAUGACAUAGAUGCAAUAAGGUUUCUCAGUCAGACAUAGCAAAUUGAGGGAAGGGAAGAUUUAGAGGAUUGGAAAAUGUCUUGCUUGUAGACUAAUAGGAUAUCAAUAAGCCAUAUGAGCAAUAAUUUGAAAUAGUUUUUGUAAAGUAUCAUGAAGGUAAACCCUGUUUAGAACAAAUUAGAUUUGAAGUACUUGUGACAAAUGCAAUUGACAAUGCCUUUAUGCAGCUGGAAAAUUGUUGCUUAGCAGAAAAGCUUGUGCUGGACAAAUAGAUGUCCAAAUUGAAUAGAUGUUUUCUUAAGCUGAACUAAUUGAGACAAAUAUCCUUAUUAAAUCAAAAAAUUAAAAAUUGAAAUAACUUACCUAUGAUAGGGUAAAUAAUGUUAUUAAUAUACACAAGAAAUAUGUGAUGUAUAUGUGUAUGUACAUAUGUAUACAUAGUAAUAAUACAUAGUGCUAUUUUUAAAUGAUAUUUUACAUAGUGCUUUUUUAAAUGAUUUUUCAAUCAUCGUUGUUGGUCUGUGUUAUUUUAAUCAUCAAAGCUGAUUGAUUUCUGUUUUUGUGUUUUUUUUUGUUUUUUUUGAGGUGGAGUCUCACUCUGUCACCCAUGGUGGAGUACAGUAGUGCGGUCUUAGCUCACUACAAACUCCACUUCCCUGAUUCAAGUAAUUCUUGUGCCUCAGCCUCUCGAGUAGCUUGGAUUGCAGGCAUGCACCACCACGAGCUGCUAAAUUUUUUGUAUUUUUUGUAGAGGGGUUUUGCCAUGUUGGCCAAGCUGGUCUCAAACUCCUGACCUCAAGUGAUCCGCCCUGGCUUCCCAAGCCCAGCUGAUUCCUGUUUAAAUAAAAACUUACAAAGAUCUUCCCACAAGUACUUUAUCUUACAAUUUACUGAACAAUAGAGGCAGUGAAGAUGUUUUUCAGAAAGCAAUUGUGAUCCUGACAUUUUCUUCUUAUAAUCCUGUGCUUUCCUCAUUUUUUUAUAUUAAAAGUAAUAGUUCUUGUGAUGGCAACUAGGAUUUGUAACAACAUGUACCCUCAUUUCCUGCAUGACCUUUUUUAUGUCACUUCUUCACAUGCAAAGUAUACUCCCUCAGUGUCAUUACAUUAUUUGAUUUUUGCCCUUUCCCUCACCUUUCCAUGUGUUUAUUUGCCUAUGCCCAUCUCCUAGUCACAUUUUAUCUAGUUAACGCCAACUUGACUUUCAAUGCUGUUCAAGAUUUACCUCAAUCUCAAGUGUUUUCUCUUUAUAUUCCAUACACGCUUAGCUUGGCUGCCAAUCCUCUUGGCUGCCAAAGAAUCCCAAAUUAUCUCUUUCAAAAAUACAAGAAAUAAAGGAUGGAGGAUAGGAAGGAGGGUGGUCAGGAAAGAACAAAGAAAGGAGGGGAGAGGAAAAAAAGAGAGAAAGAAAGAGAAUUAAAGUUAAGGAGGAAGAAUUUCACACUGAAUUAAAAUUGAUAAUAUUCAGGAAUGAUUUUAUAGUAGGCAUACAUUGAUAAAUAUUAGUUAAAUUAAUGAAUUAUUCCAAAAGAUCAUGAUUUGUAAAAAUUACCCUGAAGCACUUUAGGAAUAUUACAUUGAAAUAGGUAUGCAAUUUCUAAAGAAACUGGACUGCAAAAAUAGCCAUUGUGUGUACCUGUGGACCAGAAUAUUAUAUUUUGCUUAAGUUUGAAGUGUUAAAGUGCCCAACGUGCUCUUAUUUUAACCUAGCAAAUUUUCAGCAGAACUUAAGCUCAUAUAGUAUUUGAUUUUUUCAUUUCUCACAACUGUUGGAAUUCUGUUUUAUUGAAAAUUAUACAAUAAAAUGUUAAAAAAUCUUUGUUCCUGCAGUUAUGCAAUCUUAUGCCAAAGUCAAUAAAUUAUUAAAUUAAAAUCAAACCCACUAAGCCUAACAAUUUGAGAAAAUGAUUAUUAAAACAUAUACCAUUUAGAAGGGCAAUGCCUUUUUAAUAUUAUAGUGAAGACAACCCUAUCAAUUAUUUAAUACACCAAGAAUACAAGGAUAUAAAAUCUUUUUCUCUCAUAUAUCACAUUAUCUGAUGUAUUUAGCUGUGAUGACAUUCCAGAAAACAUCACUUUUUAAAAUUUCUAAGAUUUUAUUAUGUUGCUAGCAAAUCGAUUUUUUUCAAGUACUGUAACAAAAUCCCUAAAUGGGCUUUAUGAGAACUAUUUUCAGUGUGAUAUUAAUCAUAUUUUAUUUAUCAUCCAUACAUAGAUGGUAGCUUAUCUGGUAUUCCUAGUGUUUGAAGUGAAGAGUAACACACACACACAUCCCAAUACCAAUUUAAUUGAUAAAUAUAUAAUCAUUUGUUUUCAAAUAUUUAUGUUGAUACUUGCUUGUGUACUUACUUGUAAUGUAGGUCUGUAAAAGGGACUGUUUUCUUUCUGUGAAACUGAAGCUUAAAGCAGUGCUUGUCACAAAUUCAAAAUCACCUUGCUUUGUCAACAUUUUCAGAUGUUUUUGGCUCAGUCUGAUGACAGCAUCAGUGCAGUAAAGGGAUCUUAUUGAAAUGUUUUAACUAAAGAUAAAAUGCCACCACUAGGAGAAAAAUAAAAUCAAGGAAAUAAACAGAAAAUCAAUAAAUGUGAAAUGUAUUAUAAAUUUAUAUAAUAACAAUGUUGUAUGCUAUAAACAUCUCACUUUGUAAAAUUAACAAGAAUUCAGUGAGGCAGAUCAUUUUCUAUGUGUUCAGAAGUCAAGUCUUUGAUGGCUAAUUUUUAUAUUACUUCAUUACAAUAUCUCUACUGAAGCAAAAUAAUUGCAAAUCUUUUUGAAUGAAAUCAAUUUAUCUUUAAUUUUAGAUAAUAUUUGGUAUAGUUGGCAUAGUUUUGUCACAAAGCAUAGCUAACAUCAAUGUAGCCUUACGACUUCAAAUGUCUUUAUAGAUCUUUUCUGAAAUUGCAAAAUUUUACUUUGAAAUUAUUGUUAAUAUUUACGUUGCACAACCACAAAUGUAGAAAUAAAAUUAUAAAGUCUCCAGAUAAUGUUUUAUUUUAACCACACAUAUGUUGUGAUAGUUUCAAAUAAAUGAAAGCUCUACUGAUUUAUCAUUUUCAACAUCUUUACAUUAUUUAAGUAAUAUUAAUUAUAUUUAUGUAAAAAUACCUGAAUAGUCAUAACGAAAAUUUAAUAAUAAUGUAUAAUAUAUUGUUAACAUCUUUUAUUUUCACAAAAACACCAAGGAAGAAGCAGUGAGUAUUUUUUAUUUAUUUUAAAAAUUAACUUUUCAAUAAAUUAUUUAGGAAUGACUGGAAAUGUGCUGAGACAAAGAAGCAGUUGUCACUGUACACAAACAUGAAAUCAAUUACCUUUUGGAGAGUUUAUGAUGUGUGAGAGCUAGUGAAGUUACAUUGCAGAAGAGCAUAUAAGGAAAUCCAGAUCUGUAUAUAUUGUAGUAUAGUUUUAGUAUAAAUCUCUAAGAUUACACUUUAGACUAAGCCACAUAGUCAAACUGUUGUCUAUUUAUUCCUUUUGAAGAUUGAAACUCCCACAACUUUGGCAGACCAACUCCUCAGAAAACAUUAUUCUUUGACAUCAAUAUGUUUUGCACAAAAUUGAAUGGCAAGUGAAAGGCAUCAAAUGGUGAGAAUCUAGAAAAUAGUGCAUGUACGGGAAGGCUUUGCUCAAUACAAAUCACUUGCAUGGGACAGUCUUCUUUAGUGAGUUUAUUAUAUACGGGAACAGAGAGGUAAUAUGAAAUGGAAUAUGGAAUAUGGCACUAGCAAGCACAAAUAUUCAAAUAUGUGGAGGAACAACUGGAUGUGAUAAAACACUAUAAAAAAAAUAGAGAGAAAAAUGACAGUAGGAAAAAGACUGUAUAUAUUUUUUGAGAAUAAAAGAUAGUUUCAUUUCAUUGGUGGACAUGAGAUGAGUUGAUGCAGCAUGCAGGUGGAUACCAUUUUUUUCAAAGAAAAUAUGAACAGAGUCUCAAAUAAAUAACAAAUGUUUAUAUGUGGGUUUCAAGGACAGAGAAUAAUAAAAUAACCAAAUAUACAUAAUGUUCCAGUAAAAUGAUCCAUCAGGGCUUACAGAAAGCGUAACUAGAGAGAGACAUUAACUUGCAGAUGAUUUGUUUCUGGCUAAUGUUGUGACAGGAGUGUAGCAUUUCCUUUCUUCUCAGUUUCCUAUCUCACUUACCUUUUGAAAAGACAUGAUUCCAUAUUAUAUUUAUUCUGUUUCUCUCUUUCUUUAUUCAUUUACCCUACUUUACUGAAAAAUCUCAAACAUCAUAGAAACAUGCAUGUCUUGGUUCUCCAAGUUUGAAAGGAAAAUAAUGUAGAAAGCUCUGUUUUUUUUGCCCUGGCAUUUAUAUACUCUCCAAUCUCACUACUCCCAUAUCACUCUUCUACCUCUCUUAGAGCAAAAUUGCCUCUUAAAAAAGGACAUUGCACCCAGCAUGGUGGCUCAUGCCUGUAAUCCCACAACUUUGGGAAAUUGCGCCAGUGCACUCCAGUCUGGGAGACAGAGCGAGACUCCAUCUAAAAAAAAAAAAAAAAAAAAAGUACAUUGCUGAUUCCAUUUCAGCAUCACUCAAUUACCAUUCUCUAACUGUCUCUGAUUUGUCUUUACCAAAAGCCACAUCUGGCAUAAUUGGCAAAAGACUUUUUUUUUUUCCCCACCAUUCCAAUGAACACAAAAAUGACAUUCUCAACAUCAAAUCAAAUGAUCACAUUUUUAUUCAUAUUUUACUCCAACUGAAAUGAAGGAUAUAACUAAUUUGUCCAUUUUUCUUUAAGCACAUAUCUGUAUUCAUUUUGAUAACCCAGCACUCUUGAUUGUUCCCUUACUGAAUGUUUGUCUCUUAGUAUCCUUUGCCCAUUCUACUCCUUUAAAAAAACUGUUGCAGUAACCAAAGAGUUAUUUUUGAUUCCACUUCUUUGUCAAACUAAAGUCAGCUCUUUGAGGCUUCUGGAUUUUGAUAUUAAAUAUGUGUUUAGCAGUUCAAAUUUUAUAUAUGUAUAUUCUAGCUCAGAUCCAGAAAUCUAUUUCCUUCUUAUCAUUCUCACUUGGAUUCCUCAAGCAAUUUAACAUGCUCUAAAUAUUUCUUCCAUGUUUAUUUAGGUUUCAACUCUACAUACAGAAUAGACUAAUUUAAUAAUUUUAUACAAUCCUUGGCCUUUUACUUUAUAUGAUCUUCUACAUCCAAUAGAAGGUUGUUCAGUUAAACCUUAAAAACCUAUCGCACACUUUUUAAUUCUCUGAAUUUUCAUCAACACCACGGUAGAAACCUCCUCAAUACAGAGUUUUGUAAUAAUUGCUCUUUAAAUUCCCACCAUGAUAUGUUACUAUAUAUUCUGCUCAGAAUGAAAAGGUUCACUAUAAAACAUGGUUUAAAAAAACAAACAUUGAUUUCUCUGCUUCAGGAGUUUCCUUUCCUAUGGUAGAUGAAACUAGGUACAAUAAUUUGUUGUUUGUUUUGGAGAGCUGUCAAGGCAUGCUCCAUGGCCUCUGAAACUAGGUAGAUUGUAUCACAUACACUCCAGACCAACAUACUUGCUACUUUCUGAUUUGAUUGGAUUAACACGAUGUCAACAAUAUAGUGGAACAAUGUGAUAUUCUUGUCAGGUACAGUCUCUUUGGACUAUGUCAGACAAAUGGCAUGAGAGUUAACAUAGUCCUCGAGCUAAUUCAUAAAUGUAUAUUGUUACCAUUUUACAUAAAUGUAAUCGUUGAUGCCCUUAUUUUCUCAGAGGGGUGGGGGAAAAUUGCUAUUCCCACAUUAAUGUCUGUAUGUUAGUGAAUCUGAGUGAGUGCCAAUCUACUUGAGCAAAUAAACAUCUGGAAUAGCAGCUGUAAUUGGAUCUAUGAUUUUCUUGAAUUUGCAUUCAUUUACUUUUAUUCUCCAGAGUGCUUUUGUAAGGGUCACACUGGUAAAUCAAAAAGAGGAUGUAAUGAGGGAAUAUCACCUGUGUCAUUUUUUCAAGAAUAUCCAAUCUCAUAUUUUCCCCUGCCACACAAUACUAUAUUACUUUUGACACAAUAUGUUGAGUAGGAAGCAGCACUUAUUGAUAAUUCUACUUGCCCUUCUUCACUACUGCAGAUCUCACCCUACUAACCAAGGAACAAAUAUGAACAUUUUUUUCAGCUGACAGAAUAUAAUGUUUAUUCCAAUUAUACAUUUGUGAAAAAGGGAAGUGAAAAUAAGUCUUUUGAGCCAGUGGACCCAUUGUAAGCCCAAACUAUGCUAGGACAUUAUUUAUUACUUGAAGUCUCAUUAGCUGCAUUCUUAAAGGUGGAUCUCUUUGUAUCAAUCCUCAAAAUAUCAGGGUAUUAAAACAAUAAAAGUUAAUACUUAUUCUUUGUAUAUUUCUACUGCUGGUCCUCAAGGGGCUCUGCUCAUUGUAAUCAAAUAGGCACCAAAGGUGCAGCAGUCCCCAGCAUCUUUCCCUGUAGCCUUUGUGGUAUUGGGUAUCAGUGUUUGUCACGACGAAGGAGGACAACUUAGAGAAUUGUGCCCCUGCUGUUAGACGGAGUCUGACAAAAUCCAGACACAUAACUGUUUUAUGAGUAAAUUGCCAAUGCCAAUCACAUGAUCUAAAAUUAAUAUGGUGGGUACCAAAGGAGAGGCAGACUAUGUGUGUUAGUGAGAUCUGAUAGUGUCUGCCACAACACUUAAUAAUUUUUGGAGAAUUUUACCAUGGGCUUGACAUUUGAAUAUUCAAUUUAAACUACUUAUUUAUGAAAUAGUUAUAGGAAUAAUUAGGAACUUUAUGGCAACUCUAUGUUUUAAUUAACUUUCUAAGUGGUGAAAGAGUGAAUUAUUCAUAAAUUACUUCUGGAAACAGGACUCUUCUAAAAAGCAUGUAAGGGAACUUGAAGCAGCAUCUCAAUUUGUGCAAUAUGAUAAAGAAAAAAAACUGUGGGAUCCAGAAAACAAUACACAAUUACUUUUAUUUAUGGCUACCAGAACUUCAGGAAACCGACUAAUGUUUGUGCACAUAAUGUUUUUAUUAUGGAUCUAUCUGGGGCAUAUUGAACAUACAGUGCCCUCAAAAAUGGUCAGUUUUACUCAUGCCCAAUCCCAUAUAUUUUUUAGGGUAAUUUUUCUGGUCCAGUUAAGUUAGACCAGGACAUUUUCACUUGACAAAUCUGAGUAAACUUCUCUGGAAAAAAUUGUUUUUGACCAUUCGCCUAGAAUGAAUCUCUGGGUAAGGAAGAUGCAUAUAGUCGUAUAAUUUACUGUAGUUAUUUUGACACCUUUUCUUAACGACACACCACAGAUUUAUUGCUGGAUAUUUUUUUCCUUCCUAAGCCACUUGCCAUAUAGUUCUACUCUUCUCUAGCUCUAGGGAGGCUUCCUCAUACAGACUAGGUCAACAGAUUCCAUUCCACUGGCUCGUGGAUGGGUUUGGCUACCGAGAAGCAGUUAAGAGAAGAUCAGAAUUAUAGGGAGCAGGGAGUAGGAAAAGGUGAAGAAUUUAUUUUCCUGCUUCCCUGCUGAUCCCCUCCCAGGCUCCUACAUGUUGGUCACAUUUCUCUACCAAAUGGUAGUUCCUGUGGGGUUCUUGUAAAUUCACCUUCCUCUUUCCAUAGAGACAAAAGCUCCCUGCUUUCAUUCACCUUCGAGUACUGCAAACUUUUUUUUUUUUUUUUUUUUUCUGAGAUGGAGUCUCACUCUGUCGCCCAGGCUGGAGUGCAGUGGCACGAUCUCGACUCACUGCAAGCCCCGCCUCCCGGGUUCCCGCCAUUCUCCUGCCUCAGCCUCCCGAGUAGCUGGGACUACAGGCGUCCGCCACCAUGCCCGACUAAUUUUUUGUAUUUUUAGUAGAGACGGGGUUUCAUCGUGUUAGCCAGAAUGGUCUCGAUCUCCUGACCUCGUGAUUCGCCAGCCUCGGCCUCCCAAAGUGCUGGGAUUACAGGCGUGAGCCACCACGCCCAGCCGGGUACUGCAAACAUUUAAACAUUUUAAACGUUCCUCGAAGACAAUUUUUCCUUCCAGGACAAUGACUGAUACACCUUCUUAAGCUUACAACUGCAAAUAAGUCUCUGCCUAACAUAGCAUCUCUGCUAUACAGCCGGGAAUGUACUCCUACUCAAUGGGAUGGCUACACAAUGAAAUCAAUGAGUGACUGCACUUAAAAAAUGCCCAUUACAAUAUGAGCUAUGUCUUCCUGAAGGUGGCCUUUUAAUGUCAAAUGAGAUAAAGUAUGUAAAAAUGUUUUAUAAAUUUUAAAAUGUGAUAAAUAUUAUUUUGUGUGGAUGAUAAAUGUAGCUAUGGGUUCUAUUGACUGAAAGAUAAGCACUGCUCCUUCAUGAAUCAAACCAUUAAUUCCUGAUGGUGUUUAAUUAUUAUCGAACAUAUUUUUCUUCACAGGAGCUGUCAUUUAAAUGUGCUUGCCAACUAGCUUGUUUAUCAAAACAUUCCAGACCCUUUCAAAUUCUCAUUUACAUUGUUUCUUGUUUACCACACCCAUAAAUUUGUAUUACCAGCAUAUUUAACUAUCCGGCUAUUUUGGAGAUUGAAAAAAGAAGACCUGAUUUAUCAUGUGCAAUAUCUCACACAUCUGUCAUUUCUAUUCUACCGCAAUUCGGUGAGUUCAGCCUCUUUUUACUUCAUGUUUGAAUAAUCGCAAUAGAUUUUAUACUGUUCUCACUGCUAAACUUGCUCCCCCUAUUACCCUACAGACACUCAUAUUCAUCUUGCAUAAUACCACCAGAUUAUUCUUUGUCCAUCUAUUUUCCUAGAUAUUUGUCCUCCACUUUCCUGUCUUUUUUUCUGCACUUCAUUCUACCCAUCUUAGUGAAUAGACAUCUUUUCAACUCUCUCAGGCUAUAUAUACAUCAAUUUUUCAAAAUCCAAGUAAAACUUCACGUCCUUGAGAGAAUUUUAGAGAGCGUGUAAUACCUACAUUUUUUUUUACCAUUUAUUAGGAAUAUAUCUCAGCCCCAGUUAUGUGAUUAUUACAUAUUAUAGUAUAUUAAUGUUUGCAAACUCCUUGUAAAAUCAUACACACCCCAUACUGCUAUAUUCAUUUCAAUAGCAAAACAGUUUCUUUUCAAUUUUGUAAUAAAUAUAUUAAGAUCCUGUCCUCCUCCAGGCCAAUUUUCUUCCCCUAUAUUUAAAGUGCUCUGAUGGAGGUAACUUAUUAAUAAUUUGAGCCUAAAACAGCUUUUCAAAUAUGCAUUUCAUUUUUGCACACCAAGCUGGUGUGUGCCUGCAGGCGCUAUUUCUAUUAAGUGAACAGCUGGAUAUUGUGUAGUGGAUUGACCAGGUGUUUGAGUGAACUCAUUAGUCACCAUAUAGAAGCAACUUAAAAGAAUGAGUCACAGUGAUAGUCAUCUCACUUUGGGAAAAGGAAAAGAAAUAAAUAAAAAUGUUUCAUAUCUAUCAGACAGCCACAAAGCACAGUCCCUAUCAACAGGAGCAAAUUCAAAUAAAAAUGGCCCCACCAUACAUAUUUUAUUUGAUUUACAUCUAGCACUGAAGAUAUACUUUAUGAAUUUUUCCUUUAUUCUGACAGUCAUAAAAUAAACGGAGGUGAAUCAUAUAACUUUUGAAUAUCUACAUAGCCAGAGAUAAACUCUGCAUAUUAAAUAUCUUCCAAUAUUACAUCUACCAAAAAACAUAGCAGAGGUCAUAUUUAUGUUGCAACUGAGAAAACACUCAAAUUAUUUAAAGAGAAAAUUUAAAUACUUUACUAAAAUUCACAUUAAAUUCUGAAUUUUACAUGGGUUUAUGUGGCUCUACCAUUCAUACUGUUGAACUUCUGAGUUAUUAAUAUUUACAAAUAACCCAUGUUCUUUCAAAUGAUUCCAAUGCUUACAGAAACACAUAUAAAAGUACAUACAAUGAAAUAAAACUGUGGCAAUGUAGAAAAAUGAAAACUAUAAUAUGACAACGCAAUGAAGCCAGAGUUAAUGUGAGCACAUGAAAUGAAAUCCUAACAUUUUCUCUUCAGCUUUGUCUCUGUGUCUUACUAUGCUAAUGUAGGUAAUAAGCAGUAUUGAUAGCUGGAAGAAGUAAAUUAGCACAUGAAAAGAACCUUGAUUAUUAUUUGUGCAAUUCCUGGAGUCCACUGAUACUUACCAACUCUUAAAGCUUAGAUCUAGGGUAUCCAAACACUGCUUCCUUUCCAAGAAGGAAACAUACAAAAAAACUAAGGCAGCAUGCUCUAAUUCUUUUUUUCUUUUUUUUCUUUUUUAGAUGGAGUCUUGUUCUGUGGUCCAGGCUAGAGGGCAGUGGCAUGAUCUCGGCUCACUACAAGCUCUGCCUCCCGGGUUCACGCCAUUCUCCUGCCUCAGCCUCCUGAGUAGCUGGGACUACAGGCGCCCGCCACCACGCCUGGCUAAUUUUUUGUAUAUUUACUAGAGAUGGCUAGUGUUAGCCAAGAUGGUCUCGAUCUCCUGACCUCGUGAUCUGCCCACCUCAGCCUGCCAAAGUGCUGGGAUUACUGGCGUGAGCCACCGUGCCUGGCCAGCAUCCUCUAAUUAUUAUUCAUAGUUUGUGAAUUUAGGCCUACGUGAAUAAUAAUAUAAUAUUUACUAUGAUGUUACUAUCUACCAACCUUAUUUUUCUUUUCUAUAAAAUAGGAGCCAAAAUAAUAUUUAUGUCAUACCUUAUGAAGUUAAAAUAAAAUAUAACGAAUGAGGGGCUUAACAAUGAGUGUCAUUUUGUAAUUACUUUGUACCAUUAUUAAUUGCUGAGACAGAAUAUGGUAUCACUAGUCAUCUGUAUCUAUUGCACAACUUUAUUUUGAUUCAUUCCUUACUAUUUUGCAUAGAUAGGCCUAAAUUUUUGAUCCACUGCUCAACUCCUGUCUUUAAACCAUUGGUUCUCAAAUAGAGUUGAUUUUGACACCUAGGGAACAUUUGACAACAUAUGGAGAUAUUGUUGAUUUUACAGGGCAACCCUUCAUAAGCACAGAAUUAUCUGGCCCCAAAUGUCGACAGUGUCAAGUUCGAGAAACUCUGCACUAGGCUUUUCUGUCUGGUUACUCACCCCUCUUCUUUGCACUGCCCCCAGUUUUAUGGAUAUUGAAUUCCUGAUUUCUCACUAUAUUAAUUGCACUUAUAGAUAUUCUAAAUUGAUUUGUAUAUAUCUUCCUAGUUUGACCCAUUGCUUUUAACUGAAUUUUACUGGGCUUUUAUAAAGGCCAUUUCCAUGGAGUUUAGUCAUUAUCUUCACCAAAUUUUUAUUUGCUUCAGUCUGGGGAGGAACUCUAUAUUAAAAAAUAAAAACAAACCCAAAAACUAAUUUAUGAAAGACAUUUUAUAAUGUAAUUACUUAAACAUUUUUUUUCUUCUUUCUCAUACGAUCUUUUAAAUUCAGUGAGUGACAUGUGGUUUUCAGGCUGGGUCAGGAAGUUUGCUUGGACGGGGAAAUUCUGUCUGCUGAGACACUAGGGGAGCAAAUGCCUAUGUGGGCACAGGCUGGUCACUGACCUCCUAGGGUUCCCUGACAAUAAAUUAGUCCUAGUUGAGGUCGCCAUCAUCAGAACUUAAUUGGUCCCUGGUACUGGUGAAUCUCUGCACCACAGAGACUAAUCAGUUACAGAACUCAGCUUCUGGGCAUAGGCAACCUUUUCUGUUUUUUCAAUUUUUUGUCAGCAAAGUUGAGAAAAUGAACACACUCAAACAGCCCAUUUCUUAGCUUAUCAAUAUCCGUACCCACUUCUUUCCCUCAUCAACAUGUAUUUUCCAUAUUUUGUUGGUAUUAACCUCUGACACUCAUCCACACAAGAAAGUCUACAAAGCCUAAACUAACUUUUAAACAUUAUUUAAGGUAAUAGCUUUGUCUUCCACCAGAAACCUGGCGACAUUUUUAAAAGGAUUUGAAGAGAUAUAUACCCGAGGGACAGAGAGAAAAAUUAGUGCUGACCAGUCUGGGCCUACUUGACUAACACAAAAUAGAUUAAAUUAAUAAAAACAAGAUGUUCUGCAUUUAUAAACAUGUUAACUCUUUUUAAUGUGUAUGACUCAUUAAUGAGUUCAUAAUUAGAUUUUGAAGGAUUUCAUUCUGGACCUUGCAGAUUGUAUGUAUCUUUCUGGUAAAUUAGGAAGUAUAAUUUUUCAAUAAAAAAGCUCACUGGAAACCCCUGUAACAAGUAAUAAAUAUUUAAAAUUUGCAGAAAUGUUUACUUAUUCAAUAAAUACUGACUCCACAUUAAGAAAUGCUAGAGAUAAAGCAUUUCUAAAGGCAAAUUCUACUGUUUCCUGGUUUUACAUUCUAGAUUUUAAGACAAAGAUGGCUGCCUUGAAAUUUUAGUUAUGUGAAAGAAAUUUCGUAAUGAUAUAACUUUUUCUUACUCUGACUCUGUGAGACUUUUGUUUAUAUUUUAUGAAACUAUUUCUAUAGCACAUGUUAUAUAAAUAUAUUUGAGAAAUCAUUUUUAGCUUUCAGAAAUUAGUUUGCUUAAUACAUUUUAAUUUUAAUAAAGCUCCAUUCCUCUAGUCCUUUCAUAUCUGGAAUAUAUUUCCUAUACAAUAUCUUCUAUAUUAUUUAAUACUGCUGUUUUUUAAAAGAGAAAUUGAAACCUUUUACUCAUAUAUACCAGACUUCCAAAACUGUCUUGGUUUGAAAAUCAGUUCUCCAAAAUACUUUCUCUAACUUAACUUUAUAUCUUAGGUGCAAAUACAAUCCUGAUAAAUACUAUAGUCAGGCAUUUUAAAAACUUUAUGUUUCCCAUAUACUCAGCAGAGUAUCAUCUUCUUGCCCUUUCCCUCACUAUGGUAUCCUUCAAGAACUUAUUAGCUCAAAUUCCAAAUCCUCAAUGAAACAAUCAUCUAUCAAUUUCAUAAUUCACUGUUUUAUUCAAUAAAUAUUUAGUGAAUGAUUUCUGUGUGUCAGGAGUGUAUUGGGAGCUUGGGGACAAAGUGGUGGGCUAGAUAGGCAU